rnacentral:rRNA from 1 species
UACGGAGGAUCCAAGCGUUAUCCGGAUUCAUUGGGUUUAAAGGGUGCGUAGGCGGAACGAUAAGUCAGUGGUGAAAGCCUGCAGCUUAACUGCAGAACUGCCAUUGAUACUGUCGAUCUUGAGUACAUUUGACGAGGGCGGAAUGUGUCAUGUAGCGGUGAAAUGCUUAGAUAUGACACAGAACACCGAUUGCGAAGGCAGCUCACUAAACUGUAACUGACGCUGAGGCACGAAAGCGUGGGGAGCAAACAGG